AUACAGGAUCUUUUAAGAACCACAAAUUGUAAUUAAAAUCUUUUU
rfam:Lingula anatina scaffold497, whole genome shotgun sequence.